rnacentral:misc_RNA from 1 species
AAGUCGUAACAAGGUUUCCGUAGGUGAACCUGCGGAAGGAUCAUCGUUGUGAUAUCUUUGAUACCUGUGGGUUUUUUUCCAGAUCCCAACCAAAAGGAAGAGGCGUUGACUGAGGUUUGUUUUGGAGAGAGAAAAAGGACAAAACUUUCAACAACGGAUCUCUUGGCUCUCA